AUUGAACGCUGGCGGAAUGCUUUACACAUGCAAGUCGAACGGCAGCACGGACUUCGGUCUGGUGGCGAGUGGCGAACGGGUGAGUAAUGUAUCGGAACGUGCCCAGUCGUGGGGGAUAACGUAGUGAAAAUUACGCUAAUACCGCAUACGAUCUAUGGAUGAAAGCGGGGGAUCGCAAGACCUCGCGCGAUUGGAGCGGACGAUAUCAGAUUAGGUAGUUGGUGGGGUAAAGGCCCACCAAGCAAACGAUAUGUAGCUGAUCUGAGAGGACGACCAGCCACACUGGAACUGAGAAGAGGUCCAGACUCCUACGGGAGGCAGCAGUGAGGAAUUUUGGACAAUGGGCGAAAGCCUGAUCCAGCCAUUCCGCGUGCAGGAUGAAGUCCCUCGGGUUGUAAACUGCUUUUGUACAGAACGAAAAGGUUUCUACUAAUACUAGGAGCUCAUGACGGUACUGUAAGAAUAAGCACCGGCUAACUACGUGCCAGCAGCCGCGGUAA
rnacentral:rRNA from 1 species